rnacentral:rRNA from 1 species
AGAGUUUGAUCCUGGCUCAGAUUGAACGCUGGCGGCAGGCCUAACACAUGCAAGUCGAGCGGUAGCACAGAAGAGCUUGCUCUUUGGGUGACGAGCGGCGGACGGGUGAGUAAUGUCUGGGAAACUGCCUGAUGGAGGGGGAUAACUACUGGAAACGGUAGCUAAUACCGCAUAACCUCGCAAGAGCAAAGAGGGGGACCUUUGGGCCUCUCGCCAUCAGAUGUGCCCAGAUGGGAUUAGCUAGUAGGUGAGGUAAUGGCUCACCUAGGCGACGAUCCCUAGCUGGUCUGAGAGGAUGACCAGCCACACUGGAACUGAGACACGGUCCAGACUCCUACGGGAGGCAGCAGUGGGGAAUAUUGCACAAUGGGCGCAAGCCUGAUGCAGCCAUGCCGCGUGUGUGAAGAAGGCCUUCGGGUUGUAAAGCACUUUCAGCGAGGAGGAAGGCGGUAAGGUUAAUAACCUUAUCGAUUGACGUUACUCGCAGAAGAAGC